rnacentral:SRP_RNA from 1 species
GCUAGGUGUGGUGGCGUGCACCUGUAGUCCCAGCUACUCAGGAGGCUGAGGCAGGAGAAUCGCUUGAACCUGGGAGGCAGAGGUUGCAGUGAGCUAAGAUCGUGCCACUGCAAUCCAGCCUGGGUGACAGGGUGAGACUCUGUCUCAA